GUGAGUGAAGAAGGCUUUCGGGUCGUAAAACUCUGUUGUUGGAGAAGAAUGGUCGGCAGAGUAACUGUUGUUGGCGUGACGGUAUCCAACCAGAAAGCCACGGCUAACUACGUGCCAGCAGCCGCGGUAAUACGUAGGUGGCAAGCGUUAUCCGGAUUUAUUGGGCGUAAAGCGAGCGCAGGCGGUUUUUUAAGUCUGAUGUGAAAGCCCUCGGCUUAACCGAGGAAGUGCAUCGGAAACUGGGAAACUUGAGUGCAGAAGAGGACAGUGGAACUCCAUGUGUAGCGGUGAAAUGCGUAGAUAUAUGGAAGAACACCAGUGGCGAAGGCGGCUGUCUGGUCUGUAACUGACGCUGAGGCUCGAAAGCAUGGGUAGCGAACAGGAUUAGAUACCCUGGUAGUCCAUGCCGUAAACGAUGAAUGCUAGGUGUUGGAGGGUUUCCGCCCUUCAGUGCCGCAGCUAACGCAUGAAGCAUUCCGCCUGGGGAUUACGACCGCAAGGUUGAAACUCAAAGGAAUUGACGGGGGCCCGCACAAGCGGUGGAGCAUGUGGUUUAAUUCGAAGCAACGCGAAGAACCUUACCAGGUCUUGACAUCUUUUGAUCG
rnacentral:rRNA from 2 species